UGGGGAAUCUUGCACAAUGGGCGAAAGCCUGAUGCAGCAACGCCGCGUGCGGGAAGAAGGCUCUAGGGUUGUAAACCGCUUUCAGCAGGGAAGAAAAUGACGGUACCUGUAGAAGAAGGUGCGGCCAACUACGUGCCAGCAGCCGCGGUGACACGUAGGCACCAAGCGUUGUCCGGAUUUAUUGGGCGUAAAGAGCUUGUAGGCGGUUCGGUUAGUCGGGUGUGAAACCUCUGGGCUCAACUCAGAGACGCCACCCGAUACUGCUGUGACUAGAGUGCGGUAGGGGAGCGGGGAAUUCCUGGUGUAGCGGUGAAAUGCGCAGAUAUCAGGAGGAACACCAGUGGCGAAGGCGCCGCUCUGGGCCGUAACUGACGCUGAGAAGCGAAAGCGUGGGGAGCAAACAGGAUUAGAUACCCUGGUAGUCCACGCCGUAAACGUUGGGCACUAGGUGUGGGUCUCAACCAACGAGAUCCGCGCCGUCGCUAACGCAUUAAGUGCCCCGCCUGGGGAGUACGGCCGCAAGGCUAA
rnacentral:rRNA from 1 species